UACGAAGGGAGCUAGCGUUGUUCGGAGUUACUGGGCGUAAAGCGCGCGUAGGCGGGUUGGUAAGUCCGCUGUGAAAGCCCGGAGCUUAACUCCGGAGGGUCGGUGGAUACUGCCAGUCUUGAAGGUGCUAGGGGGAGAUGGAAUUACCGGUGUAGCGGUGAAAUGCGUAGAUAUCGGUAGGAACACCAGUGGCGAAGGCGGUCUCCUGGGGCAUUCUUGACGCUGAGGCGCGAAAGCUGGGGGAGCAAACGGG
rnacentral:rRNA from 1 species